AACGAACGUUGGCGGCGUGGAUUAGGCAUGCAAGUCGAGGGAAUCUCCCGCAAGGGAGGGAACCGGCGUAAGGGGCAGUAAGGCGUGGGUACCUACCGCGGGGUUCGGGAUAGCCAUCAGAGAUGGUGGGUAAUACCGGAUGACGUCGUGAGACCAAAGAUUUAUCGCCCUGUGAGGGGCCCACGUGAUAUUAGCUAGUUGGUGAGGUAACGGCUCACCAAGGCGAAGAUGUCUAGCGGGUAUGAGAGUACGACCCGCGCCACUCGCACUGAGACACUGGCGAGACACCUACGGGUGGCUGCAGUCGAGGAUCUUCGGCAAUGAGCGCAAGCUUGACCGAGCGACGCCGCGUGCGCGAUGAAGGCCUUCGGGUUGUAAAGCGCUUUAGGGGGGGAGAAAAGCCCGCAAGGGUGUGAUCUAUCCCCAAAAUAAGCACGGGCUAAGUUCGUGCCAGCAGCCGCA
rnacentral:rRNA from 1 species